UCCAACUCCCGCCCGGCCUUGCAGCUGCUGCUGUAACUGCUAGCCCAGAGACCUGGCUCCUGCAGAGCAGCACCCUCCCUCAAACCUCCAUUCUCGCGUUCUAGGGCGUCCUGGAGACGAAGACCAGAAGGUAUGCUUCUGCGAGUUGAUAAGCUGUUUAGAGACUUGUGACAGAGAUGGCAUAGAGAAGUGAUCUGCGAGUCAAAAGAGGGUGUGGCCAUGUGAAAAAGGGCAGAGGACAACAGUAAUCGCUGGAGGGGCAGGCAGCAUGAAAAGUGGAAGACAUUCUGCAAACGUGUUGAAACCCAUUGAGCGGUCUCUUAACCAUGGAGGAAACAGUUGAAGAAAUCAAGACGGUGCAUUCCAUCGAGGAAUAAAGGUGGCCAGAUUUCUUUUUCAUGGUAAGCUUGGAAAGAAUAACUGACCCUGUUCCCAGCUGUUAGUCCAUGGAAGAAAGGCAUGCUAGGCAGCACCAGC